AGGGAAUGGAUAAUCUAUAUCAUAAAUUUUUAUAAUAACGCGAUCGAAUUUAUUGAUUUAAUGAAAUCAUUUUACGAAGGAAUUCAUCUGUUCGAAGAAUUGUUUGGAUUUACAUAUAUUCUGCUAGAUUAUUUUUACUUAUUUCAGAUCAUUUCUCUAACUCCU